rnacentral:rRNA from 1 species
UCCAGUAGAUAAACCUUGUUAUCACCAACUCUCCCAAUCUUAUCUCAGAAGUCAAGCAGGGGUGGGCAUGGUUAGUAUUAAGAUGGAAGGCCAUGUGGUAAGGCUGAGUGGCAUGGAC